rnacentral:misc_RNA from 1 species
CAACAACCAAGCAACAACAAAUAUAAUUCCAUUUUCCUUGAUAGUGUCGAUAACAAUCUCGAGCUUUCCUUCAAUCCGCUCAUUCCUUCUAGGUUUAUAAGACAUUGCAUAUACCUCAGCUUCCUUUGAUCUCUCAGCAAUAACUCUCCAGGCGUCGUAAUCGGUAUGCAAUGGUAAACUUUCUGAGAUCCUUGGCAUUUGUAGUAGCAACUGAUAUCACUUUGCUUUUCCCUGGUACAUAACUUUCGCAUGGAUAAAUCUCUAUGAGAAGAAAACAUUGAGUAAGAUUGGCCUCAUAUACAUGGCUGUCCUCUGUUUCCAUGAUUUCUUGUUGAGCUUCACCUCGAGAUCUCCUUGUCCAGGCAGCUUGAAUGAAAGAUUUCUGUGUUGUAAUAGAAUGUUUGCUGUUGCAGUACUCAACAAGCGAGAUGAAAAUGUGGUCUGGUCCUGGCUUUCAGCACAAUGAAAUCUAUUCCUUGCUUUCAGAACUCAACAACUAUCUUACAACUGAAAGUAGAGUGCUGGUACACAAAUAAUUUCACUCCUUAGCCAACUAACAUAAUCUGAACUCAUUCUCAUACAGACAAAAAGGACCACAACCAUAAUAAUUGUCCUUGGGCUAGAACUAAAGCAGAUGGGGUGGGGUUUAUGCAGCUUUUAGAUUCAAAAUCUUAAAUCAGCAAAUUAAAGAAAAAAACUAAGAGAGAUUUUUUAAUUGCAUCCUGUAAAAGCCCAGAUCAAGGGGCAUUGAUUCCUGCAGAUGCUCAUAUGCCUAAUCUAAAUUUAAUGUGAAAUGUCACUUUGCAGUAAAUUAUUUUGGACAUCAAAAACACUACAUUUAGCCAGAUAAUUGGUCUUAACCCAGCUCCCAUAUGUUACCACUUCAACUCAGAUGAGGAACUGAUUAACCUUUCAAAACCAGAUAUGAGAUCCGGAAUAUGGCAAAGAACUCCAAUUGGUAAAUGUUAGUCAAUUUCCAACAAGAUCAGUUGUCACUCAAUUUUAUGAUUAAAGAGUAAGAACUAGUAUUGGAAUUAGCUCAAAAUUUCUAAAUCAUUCAACAAAAAACACCAGCUUCCUCUAGCCAAUCAAAUAUUAGACUCGUUUCAUAACAUUGAAGAUGAUCUACCCACCAUUGGAAAGUGGUGAUAUCUCACAAGAAAAGAAGGAAUAAAUCUCCCAACUGACUUGUUAUUCUGUCCAAACUUCAAAAUCUCUCAAAACUUUUAAUUUUACCUUACAAAUUCCCAGCAAAAGAACAUGCCCUAAACCAAAACAACUUAGGAAUGAUAAGUGCUGAACUAUGUUAUGUACUACUACAUGUUAAGUUCCUCACAAUGUGGAUGCUUUAGGUACGUAUGGUAGUCUACAUGCUACUGCCAAUAAGAUUUUAAUCUAAUGAAGUUUCCCACUUACCUUUUCACACACGAUAUUAUGAUGAUUAGUAUCUAAAUUUAAAUGAACUACCAUAUUAGUGUAAAGAUUUCCCUUUUGAAUCCACCAUAAAAUUUCACAUAUGCAGGAACAUCUUCGAGCACUAGAACUCUUAUUAGACUAUAAGGGAUUUCAUCAGAUAUUAUAAAUAUCUAAACUGUUUUCUGAAACCAAGAAAUAGGGAUUUAGGCUCACUCAAGUCCAAAGAAAGUUUCAUUAUUUCUGUUUAUCCUUAAGUGAAAAAGAAGAUGAGAAAGAAGCAAAAGAAAAAGGUUCUUUAUUGUCCACUUUGUCACAUACGAUUGGAGGAUUUUGAGUCAGAUUUCAGUUGUAUUUAAUUCCACUAGAAGUGUGUUAGAAGCUCUACUCUAAGCCAAUAGGCUUAUUGGACCAUAAAAGUGCAGAUUUUUGAAUCAUCAACUAUGUUCACCUAAAACUAACAAUGAAAUCUCAUUUUCUGUUGUUCUGCAGAAUCAAAACAAAGCCUCUUUCACCGUCUCGAAUAUAAUAUAUCUGUAUGGAGCAAAAUAUAACACUUCCCCCAUAAUUUAAUUUAUUAAUUGUUUUUUCAGUAUAUAUAGUUUUCAAUACAAAUAAAAAAAUUAAUGAUAAAACUCCACAAGCAAAUAAGGGUUACUCCUUGACAAGUAUAAAUUAAGGGCAAUAAAUGAAGUACUUCAAAGACAAAAUAGAUGCUGCCCUCUGUAUGGUUCUCUAGAAAGUGCAGCAGCGGAAAAGAAAACGAAAAACAUUAAACAUGAAGAAGAAAAGAAGCCCAACUUCAGUUGAUAAGUCUAGUGGCCAUAACACUAUCUUUUCCUUUUCUCAGGAGCCAAAUAGGGGAGAUUAAAAUAAAAAAAAGGUUUGAAAGAUUGAAGAAGGGAGUGCAAACCUUGUUAAGAGUGGGAUUCGAAGCUAAUAAGUGAGUUGUUAUUGAUGGAAAUGCUUAUACUAGGAAACGAAGAGACCCAUGAGACAGAAGUGGGUUUGCCGGUGCGACUUGAGAGUGAGUGGGAAGAUACAAGCGGGCGAGAUGAGGCAGGCGCAGAAGAAGAAGAUAUUAAUGCACGCCAUUUACUUUGUCGGACAGCAGUGGAAUCGCCGGUUACUACCACAAAACAAAUUCCGGCGAUUUUUAUAAAAUUAAUUUUCAUUUUUUUAAGAUGAAUUUGUAAUUUGAUUGAGAUUUUG